UCACCCGGAGGAAGCAGAAAAACAAAGCCGCAGCAAAACCAGAACCGAACCAGAACCGGUCCAGAACAGCUGGAAGCUCCCGAGGCGACCAUGAGCCACGUCGACGUGAAGAACCUGAAGCUGUCCAAGUUCGAGGAGGAAUAUUACGAUGAGUAUGAUCGCUACAACCUGACGGACAAAUACGCAGAGGGUUCGGCCCGCAAAGGCAGAACCAAGAAAGAGGCCAGCGACAACACGAACCGCCAGAAUCCUGCAGGACACGAGAGGAAGAUCGUGGAAAAACUGCAGAACAGCGAGAAGAAGGCCAAGGAGUGAACCCUGAGGUACCAGCAGCAACAUUUAGACGGAUUUCAGAUCAACGCAGCGCGACACACAAAGGCUGGUCGGACGGAUCUUCCCGGUAACUGACCACGGCCUCCUUGGCGACGGAUCGAGAUGUUUGGAUGGCAGGAGUUUGUUGGCGCUCCGCCUGGUUGGAGCCGUCAGCUCGCUGACCCCUGCAGCUGCUGAGGCUGACCUUUCGAUCGGCGUGCUGCAGAGUCCGGACCGGCACCGCGGUCUGACUGGGAUGACUGGGUGGCAGCUUGGAGACGCUUUUAAUGCUUGUUAUUAUGAGACAAAGUUUUCUCAUUAAAGGAUUUUAAACAGAU